rnacentral:lncRNA from 1 species
AGUGACGUAGUCUACGCCCAUUAGAUAAAAGGCUCAGUCAGCGAUACUGCACUGUACUGCCAUAUGUACUCUGUUAUUGUUAUUGUUUAACACUCAGCUCUAUCUGUCUCAGAGAUAUUGGCUCCACGGACACACACACCUGUGGGAACCGGGUCUCAAAUCAGGUUCAAAUAAACUCAAAUCAUAUUCAAUCACUAUGGCAAUCCAACGAGUGUCUGCAACCCAUGGCAAUUUAGUGAAAGACGUCUACAACAAGGAAGGCUGUAAUUUGCUGCAAAAAGCAGGUGAAAACAUUUGAAGAAACUAAUGCUGUGUUCAAGUUCACACGAUCCAAGACCAAGAAAUGCUCGCCAUCAGAAUGCACCGAGACCAGUGAGACUUUAUUUAGUUAUGGAAAAAAAUCUAAAUAAAUAAAGGCUCAAAGCCA